rnacentral:lncRNA from 1 species
GGACGAGGAAAUAAUCGUGGCUACAAAAAUCAAUCUCAGGGCUACAAUCAGUGGCAGCAGGGUCAAUUCUGGGGUCAGAAGCCAUGGAGUCAGCAUUAUCACCAAGGAUAUUAUUGAAUACCCAAAUAAAACGAACUGAUACAUAUUUCUCCAAAACCUUCACAAGAAGUCGACUGUUUUCUUUAGUAGGCUAACUUUUUAAACAUUCCACAAGAGGAAGUGCCUGCGGGUUCCUUUUUUAGAAGCUUUGUGGGUUGAUUUUUUUUUUUUUCUUUUCUUUUUUGUACAUUUUUAAUUGCAGUUUUAAAGUGAAUCGUAAGAGAACCUCAGCAUUGUGCACGAUAAGAGAAUGUGUCAGUAUUUCAGGGUUCUACAUUUUAUCUGUAAAAUGUGACUUUUUUUUUUAUCACAACAAAAGUAAAAUGUUGCUUUGUACCUGGUGUCUUUUAUUAAGCAUUUACUCCCCCAUUUCUCACAGAGAAUAACAGUCGGGAGUCAUUGUCACAAUAAAAUAGCAAUGUUAGCAGCCAGAUUCAUGGAAGGACUAAGGGGUCCUCAUGAAUUGCAUUAAGAUUCUGUACUGCUCAUGAUACACUCCAUCCUCUCUAGACUGCCUGCCGGGUAAUAGUGGACGGGUAAUCUCUGACAAAACGGGAAGGCUAUUUUUUUUCUGUUUGACAAUGGAAUUGGCAUAAUUGGGAAUGAAGAUAAAAUUUGGAACCAAGAUUGAGAAGAUGGAGUGUAUGUAGAAGGGCUGUUCAAAAAUGUAAACUUGGUUGCAUUAUAUGUGGAGGCUCAAACUUGUGAAGGUUAAAUACCAUAAAAUUUUCCAUUUGUUCUGCAUUUUGAUUCUGAAAAGAAAGCUGGCUUUGCCCAUUUCUUAUUAAAAAAACUUGUUGUAAAUCCAGUUGUCUAAUGGGAUCUAUAUGAAGUUAGCUAUGUCUGUAUGCCCUUCUCCCACAAAUACUGUAUUACUAGUGUGCUUGUAGUAGUUAACUCCACCAUCUUUGUAAGCUAAUGAAAUUGUGAGUCACCCAUUUAUAUCUUAAUUUUUAAUCAUGUCAGUUCUUGAAUGGGUAUCUCCUUAGCCUGCUGAUUUCUUUUUCUUUCUAAAGAAAGUGGGUGGAGAAAUUAAUUUAGACGUUUGUUUGCAAUAAAAAGAAUUCAUUUUACUCUUGUUUGGGAUUCUCGCCAUCAAGGUCUAAAUCCCUUUAUAGUAUGACUCCCAAGAGGAGAAACUUUAAGUGUGUGCUUUCUGGACAGCUUAUUCUUUACUCUGUACUUCGGAACAUUUAGGUUUUAAAAACUUAAAUGUAUACUGAUGAUUGAUUUUAUAAUAUAAAGUUGAAUUCUUCCCUUCCCCUCCCCCCAAGACUGCUUUUAACAUUUAUGAGGGGCAAAGGUACUGGCUGGGAGAAGUUAAUGUUCAGUUGACCAUGUUUAUGAAAUGUGAGUGGCUGUCCUCACCUGAUAAUAGACAUAUAAUACAUG